rnacentral:rRNA from 1 species
UUUAUGGAGAGUUUGAUCCUGGCUCAGAACGAACGCUGGCGGCGUGCUUAAUACAUGCAAGUCGAACGAGAAAGGCUGGCUUCGGCCGGCCCGGUAAAGUGGCGAACGGGUGAGUAACACGUGGGCAAUCUACCCUCGAAUCUGGGAUAAUCCUUCGAAAGGAGGUCUAAUACCGGAUAAGACCACAAGGUGGCAUCAUCAAGUGGUCAAAGGCGGAGCAAUCUGCCGUUUGAGGAUGAGCCCGCGCCCCAUUAGCUUGUUGGUGAGGUAACGGCUCACCAAGGCUGCGAUGGGUAGCCGGCUUGAGAGAGUGAUCGGCCACACUGGGACUGAGAUACGGCCCAGACUCCUACGGGAGGCAGCAGUAGGGAAUAUUGCGCAAUGGACGAAAGUCUGACGCAGCAACGCCGCGUGGGUGAUGAAGCAUCUUGGUGUGUAAAACCCUGUCAGUGGGGAAGAACAAUAUCAGGCGUAACUACCUGAUACCUGACGGUACCCACAGAGGAAGCACCGGCUAACUCCGUGCCAGCAGCCGCGGUAAUACGGGGGGUGCAAGCGUUGUUCGGAUUUACUGGGCGUAAAGGGCGCGUAGGCGGGCCUUCAAGUCGGAUGUGAAAACUGGCAGCUUAACUGCCAGCCUGCACUCGAUACUAGAGGUCUUGAGUACGGAAGAGGAAAGCGGAAUUCCAGGUGUAGCGGUGAAAUGCGUAGAUAUCUGGAAGAACACCAGUAGCGAAGGCGGCUUUCUGGUCCGAUACUGACGCUGAAGCGCGAAGGCUAGGGUAGCAAACAGGAUUAGAUACCCUGGUAGUCCUAGCGGUAAACGAUGGGUACUAGGUGUCGGGGGUAUCGACCCCCUCGGUGCCGCAGCUAACGCAUUAAGUACCCCGCCUGGGGAGUACGGUCGCAAGAUUGAAACUCAAAGGAAUUGACGGGGGCCCGCACAAGCGGUGGAGUAUGUGGUUUAAUUCGAGGCAACGCGAAGAACCUUACCUGGGCUUGACAUGCUUAGGACCGUCGGUGAAAGCCGAUUUUCCCUUCGGGGACCUUUGCACAGGUGCUGCAUGGCUGUCGUCAGCUCGUGCCGUGAGGUGUUGGGUUAAGUCCCGCAACGAGCGCAACCCCUGUCCAUAGUUGCCAUCAGGUCAUGCUGGGAACUCUAUGGAGACUGCCGGUGAUAAGCUGGAGGAAGGUGGGGAUGACGUCAAGUCCUCAUGGCCCUUAUGUCCAGGGCUACACACGUACUACAAUGGUCGGUACAGUAGGUUGCAAUACCGCAAGGUGGAGCCAAUCCCCAAAGCCGACCCCAGUUCAGAUUGGAGUCUGCAACUCGACUCCAUGAAGGAGGAAUCGCUAGUAAUCGCUGAUCAGCAAGCAGCGGUGAAUACGUUCCCGGGCCUUGUACACACCGCCCGUCAAGCCACGGAAGUUGGGAGCACCCGAAGUCGCUAGCUUAACCCUCACGGGAUGGCGGCGCCUAAGGUGAAACCGAUGACUGGGGCUAAGUCGUAACAAGGUAGCCGUAGCGGAAGCUGUGGCUGGAUCACCUCCUUU